AUUGAACGCUGGCGGCAUGCUUUACACAUGCAAGUCGAACGGUAACAGGGAGCUUGCUCCGCUGACGAGUGGCGAACGGGUGAGUAAUAUAUCGGAACGUACCCAAGAGUGGGGGAUAACGUAGCGAAAGUUACGCUAAUACCGCAAACGAUCUAUGGAUGACAGCAGGGGACCUUCGGGCCAUGUGCUCCUGGAGCGGCCGAUAUCUGAUUAGCUAGUUGGCGAGGUAAAGGCUCACCAAGGCGACGAUCAGUAGCUGGUCUGAGAGGACGACCAGCCACACUGGAACUGAGACACGGUCCAGACUCCUACGGGAGGCAGCAGUGGGGAAUUUUGGACAAUGGGCGCAAGCCUGAUCCAGCAAUGCCGCGUGAGUGAAGAAGGCCUUCGGGUUGUAAAGCUCUUUUGUCAGGGAAGAAACGGUAGAGGCUAAUAUCCUUUGCUAAUGACGGUACCUGAAGAAUAAGCACCGGCUAACUACGUGCCAGCCGCCGCAGUAAAAC
rnacentral:rRNA from 1 species